rnacentral:pre_miRNA from 1 species
ACAACAACAUGGGGACCGUCGCUCUACCGAGCAAUAUCACCCGUUCGGUGGAAGAUCUUCCCUUUGUCCUAUACC